UUACGGCCACAACACGUCCAAACACCAGUCCCCGUACAAUCAUCAAAGUUAAGCAACGUCGAUCCUGGUCAGUGCCUAGAUGGGUGAUCGCUUGGGAAUACCAGGUGCUGUAAG